rnacentral:rRNA from 1 species
AGAGGGGCGAGCAUGUAAAUGUAAGCGGAUCUCAAAAAAAGCCAUCCCAGUUCGGAUUGUGGGCUGCAACCCGCCCACAUGAAGUUGGAGUUGCUAGUAAUCGCGGAUCAGCAUGCCGCGGUGAAUGCGUUCCCGGGUCUUGUACACACCGCCCGUCAGACCAUGAGAGUUGGCAACACCCGAAGUCGGUAGUCUAACCGCAAGGAGGACGCCGCCGAAGGUGGGGUUGAUGAUUAGGGUUAAGUCGUAACAAGGUAUC